AACUCAAGGCGCGGAACAGACUCUUUUGGCUGCGUGAGCCUAAAACGAGUGAGCGUGAGCAGAGGAAAGGGAGGGAAAAUAAAGGGGAGAAAAAAAAAACAUGGGAAGUUCGAACACCGGGGGAAAGAACGAUUCCGACAACGCAGGCGGAAGCGACUCCUCUAAUGGCGGACUUCCAGAUUCUAAAUCCAGUCUUUAUUCUGAAGGCGAGAAAGUUCUCGCUUAUCACGUUUCUCGCAUUUAUGAAGCUAAGAUUCAAAAAGCCGAGAUUCGUAAAAAAGAAUGGCGUUAUUUUGUUCAUUAUCUUGGUUGGAACAAAAAUUGGGAUGAAUGGGUUGGCACAGAUCGUUUGAUGAAAUAUACAGAUGAAAAUAUCCAAAAGCAGCGAGCUCUGGAGAAGAAGCAAGGUGCAGACAAGCAUCAUAAGUCGGGACGUUCUACGCUGACAAAGCCAAAAACAUCCACUGAUGCAAAAACGGAUAAAGAGGAUGUGAAGAAUAAUGUGGGAAAAGGGAAAAAGCGGAAGGUUGAUGAGAAAGAAAGCAUUUCUGCUGAUAAACUUGUGAAGAUCCAGAUGCCAUCGACAUUGAAGAAGCAACUGAUUGAUGAUUGGGAGUUCGUUACACAGAAGGACAAGCUUGUCAAACUGCCGCGCUCCCCAAAUGUGGAUGAAGUGUUGAAGAAGUAUCUUGAAUACAGAACAAGAAGGGAUGGCACGAUGACUGAUUCUAUUGCAGAAAUAUUGCAUGGAUUACGCGGUUAUUUUGACAAAGCAUUGCCAUUGAUGCUCUUAUACAAAAAGGAAAAACCGCAAUAUCACGAGGCUGUGACUAAUAACAUGUCCCCAUCAACUGUAUACGGUGCAGAACAUCUGUUGCGUCUUUUUGGUAUGCUAAUUCAUCAAUGCAUUGCUCUUGGAAUUCGUUUAAAUUGCCUGAACUGUUAGCUUAUGUAAACAUGGAAGAGGAGACAACAAAUCGUUUGCAGCAAAAAUUAGUUGAUUUUCUCAGAUUUUUGCAGAAGAAUCAAAGCACAUUUUUCGUCUCUGUCUAUGACGGCUCCAAGGUUGCAGAGGGAGCGGUUAAGGGUAAAGAUUAAAGAAAACUGAUCCUGCAUGUAUGCAUAUACUUUGAUGCUUUGAAACUUGGGCGCCUCACUCGUAUGGAAAAUCAAAAGUUGAAGGGAACUCUUCCAUUAGGUAUAGCGCAAAUGAUCUUGUUAUGUACCAAUCCUUCAUACCCUUUGUAUUCUUGUAUUAGUAAAAUUUCCCAUUUCCUAUCUUUCAUCUUGUUCAUCUGCUCAGCCUCUAUGCUGUUAUUUGUGUGUGUGCUUGUAGAGUGUCUAAGACAUCUAUAAAUAGGUCUUCUGUGUACUAAAAUCAAGAAAGAACUUGAAUUGUUCAAUUCAUGUAUGUAUGAUAUUCAUCUGUUUUGAUAUAAUCUUAAGUUGAACUCAUAGAUUGAUGUACGUUCUUUUGCCUUUUCUUGU